GCUCAGGACGAACGCUGGCGGCGUGCUUAACACAUGCAAGUCGAACGAUGAUGCCCAGCUUGCUGGGCGGAUUUAGUGGCGAACGGGUGAGUAAUACGUGAGUAACCUGCCCUUGACUCUGGGAUAAGCCUGGGAAACUGGGUCUAAUACUGGAUACUACCUCUUACCGCAUGGUGGGUGGUGGAAAGGGUUUUACUGGUUUUGGAUGGGCUCACGGCCUAUCAGCUUGUUGGUGGGGUAAUGGCUCACCAAGGCGACGACGGGUAGCCGGCCUGAGAGGGUGACCGGCCACACUGGGACUGAGACACGGCCCAGACUCCUACGGGAGGCAGCAGUGGGGAAUAUUGCACAAUGGGCGGAAGCCUGAUGCAGCGACGCCGCGUGAGGGAUGACGGCCUUCGGGUUGUAAACCUCUUUCAGUAGGGAAGAAGCGAGAGUGACGGUACCUGCAGAAGAAGCGCCGGCUAACUACGUGCCAGC
rnacentral:rRNA from 1 species